CCUACGGGAGGCAGCAGUAGGGAAUAUUGGGCAAUGGGCGAAAGCCUGACCCAGCGACGCCGCGUGAGGGAUGAAGGUCUUCGGAUUGUAAACCUCUUUCAGUAGGGAAGAAGCGAAAGUGACGGUACCUAAAGAAGAAGCACCGGCUAACUAUGUGCCAGCAGCCGCGGUAAUACAUAGGGUGCAAGCGUUGUCCGGAAUUAUUGGGCGUAAAGAGCUCGUAGGUCGUUUGUCGCGUCGAUUGUGAAAAUCUGAGGCUCAACCUCAGACCUGCAGUCGAUACGGGCAAACUAGAGUGUGGUAGGGGAGACUGGAAUUCCUGGUGUAGCGGUGGAAUGCGCAGAUAUCAGGAGGAACACCAAUGGCGAAGGCAGGUCUCUGGGCCAAUACUGACACUGAGGAGCGAAAGUCUGGGGAGCGAACAGGAUUAGAUACCCUGGUAGUCCGGACCGUAAACGGUGGGCACUAGUUGUGGGAACCUUCCACGGUUUCUGCGACGCAGCUAACGCAUUAAGUGCCCCGCCUGGGGAGUACGAUCGCAAGAUUAAAACUCAAAGGAAUUGACGG
rnacentral:rRNA from 1 species